AGCGAACGCUGGCGGCAGGCCUAACACAUGCAAGUCGAACGGACCCUUCGGGGUUAGUGGCGGACGGGUGAGUAACACGUGGGAACGUGCCCUUUGGUUCGGAACAACUCAGGGAAACUUGAGCUAAUACCGAAUGUGCCCUUCGGGGGAAAGAUUUAUCGCCAUUGGAGCGGCCCGCGUCUGAUUAGCUAGUUGGUGGGGUAAUAGCCUACCAAGGCGACGAUCAGUAGCUGGUCUGAGAGGAUGAUCAGCCACAUUGGGACUGAGACACGGCCCAAACUCCUACGGGAGGCAGCAGUGGGGAAUCUUGCGCAAUGGGCGAAAGCCUGACGCAGCCAUGCCGCGUGAAUGAUGAAGGUCUUAGGAUUGUAAAAUUCUUUCACCGGGGACGAUAAUGACGGUACCCGGAGAAGAAGCCCCGGCUAACUUCGUGCCAGCCGCCGCAGUAAGAC
rnacentral:rRNA from 1 species